UUCAUUUUUUUAAGUAAAAAUAUUUUGUUUGUACAGGCCCAAAUUUUUCCAGCCCGUCAGGAAACCCAAACACAUAAAUAAAUAAAAAGUCCCAAAAUUUUAAAAGUCCAAAUUACAAUUAAAAAUCACACCAGCCCAAAUUAUCAAGGCCCAGUUAGAUGACCUAAACCCUAGCCCACUAGCUAUCAACAUUUUCAGUCAAACAAGAAAGGAACCCUAGCAUUGCAGCCACCAUUCAGCCCUUCAAGCGUGCCACCACCGCCAUCACUGGCCAUCACGCGUGUCUGACACCUGCAAAGAAAGAUCCACACGCAAGCGAUACAAACAACAGAGAAACAAACAAAAAGAAAAAUGACAAACACAAAAAACAAAAGAAAACAAGCCUUGUAUUCGGCUAUAAAGGCUAUAAUCUAUCCCCUUGUAUUCUUUUACGCAUAUUAAGCAAUCAAAAGCAAAAUAGAAGCAAAAAAAAGAGGAUGAUUUCGAUUUCUAUUUUUGUGUACUUUUCGUUUUUUUAUUUUAUUUUUUACCUUUUUUUAUUAUAAAUCUAUUCUAAACAAAAAAAAAUAAAAAGAAGAAAAAGCUUACCGGAGACACCCCGUGACGCCUCGUCAGAGGGCUUUUCUCCGUUGUCGCGAUCGGACUCAAAAGGGGGUACGAGCCCUCCCCUUUCAUUUUUUGGGUCGAGGGCAUUUUUUCUUUCAAGGGCGUCGCAAAACGAGGGCUUAAAGCCCGUUUCAUCCGUUGCCGGCCAUUGGCCACGGCGGCGGUGCGGCAGACCACCAAGAGGCUCCACGCCAGCCAAGGAGAGAGUUGAGAGAAAAUGGGGGGGUUUUUUGAAUUUUUUUAGAAACACUGAAAAAUGAAAUUUUCUAAAAAAAAUUUUUGUUUAAAUGACAAACAUGAAACGGCACCGUUUCAUUCCCUCCCCCUAGAUGCCAAAAUGGCGGUGUUUGGGGAAGGGGCGGUUUGACCCGACCCGAUUGGGAAGGAUCCUACGGAUCCUUCUGUUUUGCCUCUUGUUUUCAAUUUGGCCCUUUUAUUCUUUCUUUUGCGCUUUUUUAAUUUGACCCCAUGUUCUUUGCACUCGUCUUAUUUUGGUCCCAUUUGAAACGGUGCGCAUAAGGGCUGGGAAUAUUUUCCCAAUCAGUCCCCCACUGUUUAGGCUCGUCUCAUUUCAAUCCUUGAUGGCCUAUUUUCUAUUAUUUACAAUUUAUACCUUAAAUUUCAAUUCAAUUUCAACCUAGUCC
rnacentral:lncRNA from 1 species